UACGGGGGGAGCAAGCGUUGUUCGGAUUUACUGGGCGUAAAGGGCGCGUAGGCGGCCAGCACAAGUCAGUUGUGAAAUCUCCGGGCUUAACUCGGAAAGGUCAACUGAUACUGUGCGGCUAGAGUGCAGAAGGGGCAACUGGAAUUCUCGGUGUAGCGGUGAAAUGCGUAGAUAUCGAGAGGAACACCUGCGGCGAAGGCGGCUCUCUGGAACGGUACUGACGCUGAGGAGCGAAAGCGUGGGGAGCGAACAGG
rnacentral:rRNA from 1 species